rnacentral:tRNA from 1 species
AAUAAAGUGCCUGAUUAAAGGGUUAUCUUGAUAGGAUAAAACAAGUAAGAAUAUUACCUUUAUUA